GAUGAACGCUAGCUACAGGCUUAACACAUGCAAGUCGAGGGGAAACGACAUCGAAAGCUUGCUUUUGAUGGGCGUCGACCGGCGCACGGGUGAGUAACGCGUAUCCAACCUGCCCAUCACUUGGGAAUAACCUUGCGAAAGUAAGACUAAUACCCAAUGAUAUCCCACGAAGGCAUCGGAAUGGGAUUAAAGAUUUAUCGGUGAUGGAUGGGGAUGCGUCUGAUUAGCUUGUUGGCGGGGUAACGGCCCACCAAGGCAACGAUCAGUAGGGGUUCUGAGAGGAAGGUCCCCCACAUUGGAGCUGAGACACAGUCCAAACUCCUACGGGAGGCAGGAGUGAGGAAUAUUGGUCGAUGGGCGAGAGCCUGAACCAGCCAAGUAGCGUGCAGGAAGACGGCCCUAUGAGUUGUAAACUGCUUUUAAAAGAGAAUAAAGUGGGUCACGUGUGACUUUUUGCAUGUACCUUAUGAAUAAGGACCGGCUAAUUCCGUG
rnacentral:rRNA from 1 species